UACGGAGGAUCCAAGCGUUAUCCGGAUUUAUUGGGUUUAAAGGGUGCGUAGGCGGAUUGAUAAGUUAGAGGUGAAAUGUCCGAGCUCAACUCGGGAACUGCCUCUAAUACUGUUGAUCUAGAGAGUAGAUGCGGUAGGCGGAAUGUAUGGUGUAGCGGUGAAAUGCUUAGAGAUCAUACAGAACACCGAUUGCGAAGGCAGCUUACCAAUCUAUAUCUGACGCUGAGGCACGAAAGCGUGGGGAGCAAAUAGG
rnacentral:rRNA from 1 species